UAAAAAUAGGGUUUUAUUCUGGCUCAGAGUGAAUGCUUACAAUAUGCCUAACACAUGCAAGUUAUACGUGGUUUGUUUUGAAUAAAGAACGGUUUGUAAAUCGCCACUCCAAACCACGUGGCGCACGGGUGAGUAUAGUGUACUGAGCUUACCAGGAAGUUUAGUAUUAUAGGUUUGUUUCAAAUCAAAAAUACUAAAUAAUAAAAAUAAAGAGAUUAUUCUCGCUUUCUGAUGGUCGUAUAUAGUUUUAGGUAGUUGGUGAUUUUAAGUUCACCAAGCCGGACAUGCUUAGUUGGGCUGGGAGGUUGUCCAACCACACGGGAACUGAGACACGGUCCUGACUUCGUUUGAAGGCUGCAGUGAGGAAUCUUAGGCAAUGGGCUAUUGCCUGACCUAGCAAUAUUGUAAAGAGAGAUAGAAGGCUUUUAUAGUUGUAAAUCUCAUGCAAUAAACUGAAUAAUGAUUUGGAUUAUUGUUUUUAGCAUCGGCAAAUUCUUGUGCCAGCCGCCGCGGUAAUACAGGUGAUGCGAGUGUUACUCUUCUUUAUUGGGCGUAAAGGGUGCGUAGGUUGUAUAAUAAGUUUGAAGUAAAAUGUCAAAAAAGAUCAAUACAAAUUUUUGUGGAUAUUUUUUAUACUAUUAUACUUGAGUUUUAUUAAGGAUAAUGGAACUUCUCAUAAAGAGUUUAAAUGCGCUAGUAUAUGAGAGGGAACACCUAUGGCGAAGGCAAUUAUCCAUAUAAAUACUGACACUGAGGCACGAAGGCGUAGGGAUCAAAUCGGAUUAGAUACCCGAGUAGUCUACGCAGUCAACUAUGAGUAUAAAAUAUCGUAUUUUUAAUAUGCGGUGUUAAAGCUAACGCGAAAAUACUCCGCCUGGGAACUACGAUCGCAAGAUUAAAACCUAAAGAAAUUGGCUGAGGUUAGUUACAAGCGGUGGAGCAUGUGAUUUAAUUCGAUACAACGCGAAAAAUCUUACCAGCUCUUGUCAUGUUUAUAAAAUAAAUAUAGUUCCAUAUACGGAACUAUAUUUCACAAUUCGUUGGGAAUUGUUGAUCGAUUAUAGUUAAAAUUUUUUUUAUUAAAUUUUUUCUUUUUUUUUUAUAGACACAGGUGUUGCAUGGCUGUCGCAAGUUCGUAUUGUGAAACGUCAGGUUAGUUCCGUUUAACGAGCGUAACCCUUGUCUUUUGUUACUUUGCCUAUGAGGCGAUGAAAAUAAAAGAGACUGCUAAUGUAAUGUUAGAGGAAGGUGGGGACGACGUCAAGUCAUUAUGGCCCUUAUGAGCUGGGCUAUACAUGUGCUACAAUGGUAAUGACAAAGAGUUACGAUACUGUGAAGUAAAGUUAAUCUCAAAAAAGUUAUCUAAGUUCAGAUUGUUUUCUGGAAUUCGAAAACAUGAAGGAGGAAUCGCUAGUAAUCGUAGAUAAGAACGCUACGGUGAAUCUGUAUCCUAACCUAACACACACCGCCCGUCAAGCCAUGAGAGCUUGUAAUGCACGAGGUAUUCCUUGAAUAUUAGUUUACAUUUAUAUGUAUUGAUUAAAUAGGACUAUCAAUGCAUUAUAAGUGAUUGAGGUUAAGUCGUAACAUGGUAGUUGUAGGGGAACCUGCAGCUGGAACAAUUUUUUA
rnacentral:rRNA from 1 species